GACGAGGCACUACGGUGCUGAAGCAACAAAUGCCCUGCUUCCAGGAAAAGCCUCUAAGCAUCAGGUAACAUCAAAUCGUACCCCAAACCGACACAGGUGGUCAGGUAGAGAAUACCAAGGCGCUUGAGAGAACUCGGGUGAAGGAACUAGGCAAAAUGGUGCCGUAACUUCGGGAGAAGGCACGCUGACACGUAGGUGAAGUGAUUUACUCAUGGAGCUGAAGUCAGUCGAAGAUACCAGCUGGCUGCAACUGUUUAUUAAAAACACAGCACUGUGCAAACACGAAAGUGGACGUAUACGGUGUGACGCCUGCCCGGUGCCGGAAGGUUAAUUGAUGGGGUCAGCGCAAGCGAAGCUCCUGAUCGAAGCCCCGGUAAACGGCGGCCGUAACUAUAACGGUCCUAAGGUAGCGAAAUUCCUUGUCGGGUAAGUUCCGACCUGCACGAAUGGCGUAAUGAUGGCCAGGCUGUCUCCACCCGAGACUCAGUGAAAUUGAACUCGCUGUGAAGAUGCAGUGUACCCGCGGCAAGACGGAAAGACCCCGUGAACCUUUACUAUAGCUUGACACUGAACAUUGAGCCUUGAUGUGUAGGAUAGGUGGGAGGCUUUGAAGUGUGGACGCCAGUCUGCAUGGAGCCGACCUUGAAAUACCACCCUUUAAUGUUUGAUGUUCUAACGUGGACCCGUAAUCCGGGUUGCGGACAGUGUCUGGUGGGUAGUUUGACUGGGGCGGUCUCCUCCUAAAGAGUAACGGAGGAGCACGAAGGUUGGCUAAUCCUGGUCGGACAUCAGGAGGUUAGUGCAAUGGCAUAAGCCAGCUUGACUGCGAGCGUGACGGCGCGAGCAGGUGCGAAAGCAGGUCAUAGUGAUCCGGUGGUUCUGAAUGGAAGGGCCAUCGCUCAACGGAUAAAAGGUACUCCGGGGAUAACAGGCUGAUACCGCCCAAGAGUUCAUAUCGACGGCGGUGUUUGGCACCUCGAUGUCGGCUCAUCACAUCCUGGGGCUGAAGUAGGUCCCAAGGGUAUGGCUGUUCGCCAUUUAAAGUGGUACGCGAGCUGGGUUUAGAACGUCGUGAGACAGUUCGGUCCCUAUCUGCCGUGGGCGCUGGAGAACUGAGGGGGGCUGCUCCUAGUACGAGAGGACCGGAGUGGACGCAUCACUGGUGUUCGGGUUGUCAUGCCAAUGGCACUGCCCGGUAGCUAAAUGCGGAAGAGAUAAGUGCUGAAAGCAUCUAAGCACGAAACUUGCCCCGAGAUGAGUUCUCCCUGAGACUUAGAGUCUCCUGAAGGAACGUUGAAGACGACGACGUUGAUAGGCC
rnacentral:rRNA from 1 species